rnacentral:rRNA from 1 species
AUUGAACGCUGGCGGCAUGCCUUACACAUGCAAGUCGAACGGCAGCGGGGGAGGAGCUUGCUUUUCCUGCCGGCGAGUGGCGAACGGGUGAGUAAUACAUCGGAACGUGCCCUGUAGUGGGGGAUAACUAGUCGAAAGAUUAGCUAAUACCGCAUACGACCUGAGGGUGAAAGUGGGGGACCGUAAGGCCUCAUGCUAUAGGAGCGGCCGAUGUCUGAUUAGCCAGUUGGUGGGGUAAAGGCCUACCAAGGCGACGAUCAGUAGCUGGUCUGAGAGGACGAUCAGCCACACUGGGACUGAGACACGGCCCAGACUCCUACGGGAGGCAGCAGUGGGGAAUUUUGGACAAUGGGCGAAAGCCUGAUCCAGCAAUGCCGCGUGUGUGAAGAAGGCCUUCGGGUUGUAAAGCACUUUUGUCCGGAAAGAAAUGGCUCUGGUUAAUACCUGGGGUCGAUGACGGUACCGGAAGAAUAAGGACCGGCUAACUACGUGCCAGCCGCCGCAGUAA